GCCUGCAGCUCCCACAGGGGCCUGGUCAGGUUCCUCUCCAAGGACCUGGCGGCUUCCAUGACGUCCUGAGUUUUGCCCCCUCAUCUUGGGGAGGCUUCAGCACGUCCUGGAGAGAAUGUGGCCACCGCGCUGGUUUUGCAACUUUAAGAGCUGCUUAGCGCCCAAGCGUUUCUUCUCCACCAACUCAGGCAAGAAGUGGCCCGCGCCCUGGAGAGCUACAUCGUCGUGGUCGAAAUAGAAGCCGAGAGAGAGGCACCCAAAGAACUGCGGGGUCACCCUUGGCUCAGCCCCACCUCUGCUGGAAGGGUCCACCGGCUUCAGCAUCUCUCUGCUCGGGCGUCUGAGGCAGGACCCAGCCCUGCCCCACGGCUGUGCACGCAGUAAAUGAGGGCUGACCAGCGCAGAGCCAACAUUCCACCCUCGGGCCACUUGCUCUGGGGGAAGCCAGCUGCCGUGGCAUGAACAUCACUGGGAGGAAACCCAAGGAACGGAGGCCUCCAGUCAACAGCCAUGUGAGUAGCUUGGAAGCAGAACUUCCAGCCCCUGUCGAGCCUUCAGAUGACUGCCACCCUGGCCAGAACUACCCAGAUCCAGACCCUCAGGAACUG